UAUCUCUGUAGAGUCUGCAUAUCAAUAAGCGGAGGAAAAGAAACUAACUAGGAUUCCCUUAAGUAACGGCGAGUGAAGCGGGAAGAGCUCAAAUUUGAAAUCUUCAAGGUUCUACCUUGACGAAUUGUAGUUUAUAGAAGUGUUUUCUGUUGGAGUUUCGGUAAAAGUUCUUUGGAAUAGGACAUCAUAGAGGGUGAGAAUCCCGUAUUUGACCGUUAUUUUCAGCUGUGUGAUACACUUUCAAAGAGUCGGAUUGUUUGGGAAUGCAGUCCAAAAUGGGUGGUAAAUUUCAUCUAAAGCUAAAUAUUGGCGAGAGACCGAUAGCGAACAAGUACCGUGAGGGAAAGAUGAAAAGAACUUUGAAAAGAGAGUUAAACAGUACGUGAAAUUGUCAAAAGGGAAGCGUUUGACACCAGUGUUGUUUAGUUGAAAAUCAAUUCAAUAAUUUUUGAUUUUAAGUAGUAUUGACUUCAUCAGCUUGCUGCUUUCUUUUCAGGAAUUAUUGAAUGCACUUUUCAGUUAACAAGUCAACAUCAAUUUCUUUUGUUGUAAAAGGGUAAGAGGAAGGUGGCUUACGCUUCGGCGUAAGUGUUUAUAGCCUUUUACCUCUGCAAUCGGAGAGAUUGAGGACAGCAGCGUAGACUCUUCGGGGUUAGAUACACUUGUGCUAAGCUAUAGCCUUGUAUAGACAACUUGUUGACUAUGCUCAGUCAUGUAGCUUACUCGCUUGUGCUAUUUUACCUACGCUUAGGAUGUUGAACGCGCACAGAGUCUC
rnacentral:rRNA from 1 species